UCUGGUGCUUCCCGUGCCAGGGUCUGCACACAGGACACAGAAAACACAGGCGAGCAGCACCCACCUGGCAGCAGAGUGGUUUCCAUGCCCACCCGCAGGGGCACCAGCGCCCCCUCUCUCCCUCGCUGACCUGACUUACAAAAAGAAGGCGGCUGGGACUGGGGACAGCUGGCCUCCGCCCCCAGCCCUCCUCUGCACCUAAGGGCUGCAGACUCAGCAGGCGGGCUCUGGCAUGCACCCUCCCAUCUCUUUCCAGUCUACCCUAGACUGGAAACUGAGCCCCGGGAGGCAGCAAAAGACACCGGGAGAGGGGUUGGAGGAGGCCGAAACAAGAGCAGGGGAUCACGGUUAAGGUUGCGGCGCCACAAAAGACAGCACGCAGACUGCGGACCUGCCGCACGGAGAAACCCUGUGGAUGGCAGGAGGCCAGGAAAGAGGGACCUGGAGGGAGGGGCGGCAGCACCCAUGAACCGAGGAGCCGGAACUUGGACGUGCAACUGGUCCCCCGGAACGUUGGGCUUCACCAUCAGAGGGUACCACCAAGGACUUUGAGGUAGGGGGUGCGACGAAAGGACACAAAGGCUAAACACAGCUAUGCAGAAAACGGAAGGAAACCUUUCUGAGAACCAACCAGGAAGCUUAAGAACAAUCGAAACCCGGAGCGACUUUGUAAUGAGAAAGCUGAAGAGGCAAAGAAAGAAAAAAAAAUCCAGAUUGGAGAGUGAGGGAAGGGAAGAGUUAGAAGCCGAGCAAAGCAAACUGCGCCAGGAACUAAAAGGAAAAAUAAAUCAAUAAAGGAAAUUUUCAAAAAACCAUGCCAAAGCGAACUUGUUCCUGAAACUGCCAACAGAGGGAGGAAAAAAGGGUGGGGGCACGGAACAUACUGGAGAAACCAAAAGUAAAGAAAGGAAGGGAGAGAAGACAGGAUGCAAAUUAAACCAGACACGACAUAGUUAUCUAUUCCAAGGCAGUCUUCUCAUCAUAGAUGCGUCAUGACUACUAACAAGUGUCUGGGCUCUGUGCUUCUUCAUCCAUAAUAUGAGUUUUGAGCAAGACCAACUACGGCAGAUAUUCUCAGGAAACAACCAAGAAGUGAAAGUAAGGAUGCUUACAGGGGAUCGCUCCUUCACUCAUGUUGGGAUUGUAAACUGAUACAACCACUAUGAAAUCAGUGCAGAGAAUCCUCAAAAAGCUAAAAACAGAUCUACCAUACGACCCAGCUAUACCACUCUUUGGCGUCUGCUCAAAGAACUCGACAUCUUACUGCAAAGAGAUUGUGAAAUGUCUGCUGGAGGAACACAAGACGCCUGACUGACAGCCACGGAACAGAAAUGAUGGAGCCAUAGAUGAUGUCCUUUGAUGGGCAUAGAAUGACUUCACUGAAAAUGAAAAAAACAUCUAAUGAGGUAAUAGUUUUGUGAGAGGUAACAGAAAGAACCAAAUUUCAAAGCGAUAAGCAGCCAAUGGCAAUGUAUUGUCCAAGGAACAAAGGGUUGUGUGGCCAAAGCACACAAAAAAGUAGGUCAGACCAGAAGCAGAAAGAUCUGGGUCACAUAAAGGCUAAUUGACAAUGAUUGAAAGUUUUGAUUUAAACUUGAUAAACAUAUAAUACAAAGUUUAGAAGAGAGUUUCUGACUGGCUGUGGACUGAGAAAUUCUUUUUUUGUUAAACUUUGAGUAUGCACAGGCCUGGGAUUUUACAGUCUGAGGAGAGAGAUGUCUGUACUCCAGGUGUGGACAAGGGACCAUAGAUGAUAUGUCCUGGCUUACAUUGAGCAAAGACUGAAUAGAACAGAUUUUCAGAAUUGUCAGAAGUGUAAAGUCUAUUGCGAAAGUUGGAAAAACAACUCAGAGUAGCCUGCAAGGACAGUAUGUUCUAGGUGACACAUGGGCAGCAGCUGGGAGCCAUGAUACCCACUGUGUGUGUAUGUGUGGACUCUGGCUCAGCCCCAAUCAGGUCUCUUUGAGAAGAAAGGGCCCAAAGCCAAGGGCAGGCCAGGUUACCCAACAGGAGUCAGGCAGACAACCCAAGACUUGGCAAUGAUAGCACAAAGAUGACACCAGGUUGACUUUGCAAUGUUCUUGCCAGACGUUGACAAAAGUCAAUUCUUUCUGUUCAACACAGGCACGAUUGAAGACAGCAGACAGCUCUUGCUAUAUCACUGCAUGCGUAACGUACUGUCCAGUGUACUUUCUGCACUCAGUCUCCACAUGGGAGCCGAGUUCUCCUUUCAGCAUCCAGUUUUUAAAGGUGCUACAACCUGGAGCCUUCAACUGUUUGCUGAGAGAAUAUGAAACCUAAGCAGUUCGCAGUUCCAAGCACUCAGUUCUAACUGAGCACUGCAAAUGGCUCAGACGAGGCUAUUACGAAGAUGAAGUUCAGGCAGACCUACCUGAUCACAACCUUUUGAACAGAACAGCAACUAGAACCAGCAGUUUUUCUAAGCUCUAUAAAUUAAUUAUUUAGUUUUAUCCUCAUAAAGACACAAGAAGGGUCGUAUUCGUUUUCACAUUUCACGAGUAACAAAUCUGAAGCUUAGGGAUCAUAAGUAUGUUGUCCAAAGUCACCCAGCAGGUGAGUUAAAGGGGUGGAAUUUUAAUCUAGGCAGGCAAAGGCACAGUCCUUCAGUCUGGGAUUGAAUCUUUAAGUCAAGACCUCUUCCGACAAGGAAUAAUAUUAAGAACACAUAUAAUUUUACUGUGCAAAACUAAGGUGUAUAAUUUAAAAUAAUCCAAUGUUACUCAAAGGAAUUUCACCAAGACAUGUGGAAACAUUUUAAGUAAGUAAUUUUUUUUGAAAGCUUCCAUCACUGUCUGAUAAAACAACAGAUGUAAGGAGAAAAUAGCCACUCCAUUCAUUUAUUUUAUUUUUUAUUUAUUUGCAAAUUAAUAAGUGGAAAAGGGAGUUGGUUUGUCAAAUUGUUAUUCUUUUCUUCACUAGUGAGUACUGGUAUUUCCACAAUAACAGGUUAAGGCUCACCUCACCCCCAUCUCUACCCUCACCUGCGAAAUAUAGUAGGAAACAUCAACACGGUCUAGAGCUGUAAACAUCAGCAACAACAUUCUUGAAUCUGUGUAUCAGAGUGCAAGUGGCUAAUGUAGGGGUAACAGAUUGCUGCAGUUCUGUGUGACAGCGUACUUCCUAUAGCACUAGGUUUAUGUAAGAGAUGGACAAGCAACUGUAAUACAAACCAUUUGAGAUGGAGGAUCUUCAUUACACAAAAGAGAGCAGUCCUGGCCCUGGCCAUCAGGCAGGGUGGAAUGCAGAUCAAAGAGAAAAUACAUGAAUAAACCAUUUAUGGACUGUAUAAUGUUCUGACAAAGGAGACAUACACAGAUGUAGAUCCUAUAGCUAAGGGUACUAAAUCAGAGAUGAGAUACCUCACUUGUACCCUCAGGUUUCUUGAACAGUGGCAGUGUAUGCUGAUGCAGAGACAAGAUAAGUAUAUGAAAUGUAUUUCUGCUUUCUGGAAAAUUCUCCACAUAUAUAACCAUGUACAAUGGCUUUAGAUACAUUUCAGAACUCUUCAUAUCAAACGAUAAUUGCUGUAACAAUAUUCUGUCCUUUUUAGCUCCCAGUCUAAAUGCUCCCGGUCUUGUAGGCUUAGCACUUGGCUUCUUUAGUCUCAAUUCUCCAAUCCCAAUUUCAGUUCAUUCAAGCUGGUUCUACAUCAGACAAUAGCCUUGAUCCUCAGUUCAGCUCAGUUCAUGACUAUUCAUUCUGGGCAAAGGGACACUAGAUGCCCAGGAGUGUAUCCCAUACUGAAGGAGAAAACCAAGCAAGCAAAGUUAAAAUUUCAGUAUCUUCUAUCUAAUAAACAGCUAAAUCAGGAUUCCAGUGAUAUUUCAUGUACCGCAGGUUUGUGGUGUGUUCCAUAGACAUUUAUAUCUUUCAACAAGCCCUCAAAAUGAAGCUGAUCUCAAUGUGUUGAAUGUACCUGAUUUUCCAUAUUAUAACAUUUCCAAUAUGGUGACUUUCUAAUUUAGACUCUCUCCACAUAAUGUCUGGUUGUGACUAUCUGCGUCUGUUCAUAUCUGCUGUCAGAGGAAGUUUUUCUGAAGAAAACUGGAUAAAGUACUGAUCUAUUAGUAUAUCAUAAUAUUCUUUGUCAUUUUUUUUAAACCAGUAGUAUUUUGUUUUGCUCAAAGUCUCUGUGCUAUCAAGACUCUGGUUCUUGGUUACCUAAGCAGUGUUAGUAUAGGUUUCUUUUCAUGAAGUGGGACUUAAAUCAAAUUAGACACUGGUUAGUUCCGUCCACUAGUUCUUUGCCACCAUUGCCCUAGCAUAUUAUGCAUAUUGUAAGUAAAAAGUUCUGUUGCAGGGUUGGUGUUUAUGUUUCUCUUUCAAUAUUCUGCAGAAUACUGUCCCACACCAAAGAAUUUAGAACAUAGGGGUGAGGGCUCUGUGUAGGCACCAGCUUGAUUUCACUAUGUUCUUUUCCUUCCUUCUUUCCUUUCUUUCUUCCUUCCUUCCUUCCUUUUCUUUCGUUCUUUUGUUUUUUCAUUCUUUCUGGUUUUUUGUACUAUUUUUUAUUGGAUUUGUAAAUUUACAUUUCAAAUGUUAUCCUCUUUCCUGGUUUCCCCGUCCAUAAACCCACUAUCCCAUUCCCUUCCCCUUUCUUCUGUGAGGGUGUUCCCCCACCCAUCCACCCACCUCUUCUUGCCUCCCCGCCCUGACAUUCCCCUACACUGGGGGGUCUAGCCUUGGCAGGACCAAGGGCUUCUCUUCCCAUUGCUGCCCAACAAGGCCAUCCUCUGCUAAAUAUGUAGCUGGAGCCAUGGGUCUGUUUUUGUGUACUAUUUAUAUGGUGGUUUAUUUCCUGGGAAUUCUGGUUGAUUGGUAUUGUUUUUCUUAUGGGGUUGCAAACCCCUUCAGCUCCUUCAAUCCUUUCUCAACCCCUCACAUUUGGACCCUGUUCUCAGUUCAGUGGUUGGCUGAGAGCAAUCACCUCUAUAUUUGUCAUGCUCUGGCAGAACCUCUCAGGAAACAGCUAUAUCAGGCUCCUGACAGCAUGCACUUCUUGUCAUCAGCAAUAUUGUCUGGGUUUGGUGGCUGUAUGUGCAUGCUGGAUCCCCAGUUGGGGCAGUUUCUGAAUGGCCAUUCCUUCUGUCUUUGCUCCAAACUUUGUCUCUGUAUCUCCCUCCUCCUAUGAAUAUUUUUGUUCCCCACUUCUAAGAAGAACUGAAGCAUCCACACUUUGGUUGUCCUUCUUCUUGAGCUUUAUGUGGUCUGUGGAUUGUAUCUUGGGUAAUCUGAGCUGUUGGGCUAAUAUCCAUUUAUCAGUGAAUGCAUACUCUGUGUGUGUGUGUGUGUGUGUGUGUGUGUGUGUGUGUGUGUGUGAGAGAGAGAGAGAGAGAGAGAGAGAGAGAGAGAGAGAGAGAGAGAGAGAUUGCGUUACCUCCCUCAGGAUGAUAUUUUCUAGUUGCAUCCAUUUGGCUAUGAAUUCCAUAAAGUCAUUGUUUUUAAUAGCUGAGUUUACACUCCAUUGUGUAAAUGUACCACACUUUCUGUAUUCAUUUCUCUGUUGAGAGACAUCUGGGUUUUUUUCACCUUCUGGUUAUUAUAAAUAAGGCUGUUAUGAACAUAGUGAAGCAUGUGUUCUUGUUAAGUGUUGGAGCAUCUUUUGGGUAUAUGCCCAGGAAUGGUAUAACUGGGUCCUCAGGUAGUACUAUAUCCAAUUUUUUGAGGAACCUCCAGACUGAUUUUCAGAGUGGUUGUGACAGCUGCAAUCCCACCAACAAUGGAGGAGUGUUCCUCUUUCUCUACAUCCUCAUCAGCAUCUGUUGUCACCUGAGGUUUUGAACUUCCAACUGGUGAGAGGUGGAAUCUCAGGUUUGCUUUGAUUUGCAUUUCUCUAAUGACUAAGGAUGUUGAACAUUUCUUUAGUUAUUUCUCAGCCAUUCAGUAAUCCUCAGCUGUGAAUUCUUUGUUUAGCUCUGUACCCCAUUUUUAAUAGGGUUAUGAAAAAUUCUCCACUCUCUGGAGUCCAACUGCUUGAGUUCUAUGUAUAUAUUGGAUAUUAGCCCUCUAUUGCAUGUAGGAUUGGUAAAGAACUUUUCCCAAUCUGUUGGUUGCCAUUUUGUCCUAAUUACAGUGUCAUUUGUCUUACAGAAACUUUGCAAUUUUAUGAAGUCACAUUUGUUGAUUCUUGAUUGUAGAGCAUAUGCCUUUGGUGUUCCGUUCAGGAAAAUUUCCCCAGUGCCCAUGGAGGCUCUUCCUCCACUUAUUCUUUCAUUAGUUUGAGUGUAUUUGGUUUUAUGUGGAGAUCUUUGAUCCAUUUGGACCUGAGCUUUGUACAGCAUGAGAAGAAUGGAUUGAUUUACAUUCUUCUACAUACUGACCACCAGUUGAACCAACACCAUUUGUUGAAAAUGUUAUCCUUUUUCCCUCUGGAUGGUUUUAGCUGCUUUGCCAAAGAUCAAGUGAUCAUAGGCAUGUGGGUUCAUUUUUGGGUCUUGUUCAAUGAGUUCUGUGGGUAUUAUCCAUGGCAAUGGGGCUUCACUAUCAUCUUGCAGAGAUCAUCCUUUUGUCUUAGCAACAGUCUGGGUUGUUUAAGGAUUUCCAUGGGACCCUCUUGGCCAAUAACUCAAAUGCAUGCAAUCUAGUCCUGCUAGUGGAAGACUCAUCUGGUUAUAAGAGAUGGCCAGUUGAGACAGAGGUCUCCAUCAAACCUUUUCCUCAGAACUUGGGGAAUUCUGUGAAAGAGGAAGUGAAAAGAGUUUCAGAUUCAGAGGAGAUGGGAAACAGCAGGAAAGCAAGGUCCUCUGAAUCAACUUAGCAGGGUACAUAUGAGUUCACAGAGACUGAAGGAAUAAGAAUGGAUCGUAUAUGGGUCUAUAUCUGGUCCUCUGAAUACAUACUAUAGCUAUUAGAUUGGUAUUCUUAUGGGACUCCUGACUGUGAGAAUGAGUUCGUCUCUGACUCUUUUGCUUGUUCUUGUGACUUUUCCUCCUAUGGGUUGUCAUGUCCAACCUCAUUAUGAUGGGUUUUCUUCAUCUCAUUAUAUUUUAUUUUGUAAUGUUUGGCUGUUAUCUCCUAAAAGCCUGUUCUUUUCCCGUAAGAGACAUAAAGGGAGUGAAUAUAGAGAGGAUGGGAUGGGGGGGUCUGGGAGGAGUAGAGGGAAGGCAAACUAGUAUAAUCAGGAUAUACUAGUAUAUGAGAAAAGAAUCUAUUUUUAAUGGAAGAAAAAUGGAUACAAAAAUUAAGAUAUGUUGAUAGAAAUAUGUAAUUUAAAGAGGAGAAGAGAAAAAUAGAAUAAAGCAAUUAAAAAGUAAAAAAAAAUGAAAGUAAAAAGGGAAAUGGAGCUGACACUUGUAUAUUUUUCCAUCUUUAUUAACUUGAGCAUUUCUUAUUUACAUUUUGAUUGUUAUUCCCCUUCUUGGUUUCCAGGCCAACAUCCCCAUAACCUCUCCCUCCCCUUCUCUAUGGGUGUUCCCCUCCCCAUCCUCCCCCCAUUACCGCCCUCCCCACAACAAUCCCGUUCACUGGGGGUUCAGUCUUGGCAGGACCAAGGGCUUCUCCUUUCACUGGUGCUCUUACUAGGCUAUUCAUUGCUACCUAUGAGGUUGGAGCCCAGGGUCAGUCCAUGUAUAUUCACAUGGGUAGUGCCUUAAUCUCUGGAAGCUCUGGUUGCUUGGCAUUGUUGUUCAUAUGGGAUCUCGAGCCCCUUCAAGCUCUUCCAGUCCUUUCUCUGAUUCCUUUAACAGGGGUCCCAUUCUCACUUUGGUUUGCUGCUGGCAUUCGCCUCUGUAUUUGCUGUAUUUUGGCUGUGACACUUGUAUUUUUCCUGUAUAAUUUUCUCAUAUGUGGUUGAAAGUAUUUUAAUUGGACUUCAUGUGGGCUGAUUGGUUAAACCUGAAUUCAUACAUUUAUUCAUUUAAAUACAGUUUAAUAAAAACAAUAAAUACACUUGGCAGGGAAUAGGGAGGCAAAGUUUAGAACAGAGGUAGAAGGAACACCCAUUCAGAGCCUGCCCUACAUGUGACCCAUACAUAUACAGCCACCAAACUAGAUAAGAUGGAUGAAGCAAAGAAGUGCAGGCCGACAGGAACUGGAUGUAGAUCUCUCAGAGUAAAUUAUGCUUUAUCAUGACCUUAUUUUUCUUUCCCUGACCUUAUGUGUUUUCUCUUCUGUAUGCUGCUUAUUCAUGACCCUUACCAAUUCUCCCAUUGGGUUAUUAAUUUUCUUUGCUGAUUCACAUCAGUUAUGGAAAUAUUUCUGCAAUCUAUUUACAUAAACUCUGUCAAUUUUAUAUAUUAUUAACAUUCCCUCUCACUUUAUGACUUAUCUUUCCAUUAUCUUUAUAAGCAGUGGGGGGUUUAUCAAGAUUUUUCCCACUGAUUGUCCUACGCUGACAAUAUUCCCUUCUCUCCAGAGUUAAAACCAUCCCAAAGCAGGAAAUACACUCUCUUUCAGAAGUAGAAUCUUUGAAAAUAAAAUGAAUUUAAGCUAAGAUUACAUUGGAUUAGAAUGAGUUCUCCAAACAAUCACUGUUAUUCUUACCAAAAUAGAUAGAUAGAUAGAUAGAUAGAUAGAUAGAUAGAUAGAUAGAUAGAUAGAUAAUGGAAAUUUAGACAAAUAUAUAGAAGAGAUCAGGAAAAGAAUUGCAAGUAAUAAAUAAAUAGAUGUUGAAUGGCAUGCCUGCAACUCAAGGAAUACCCAGGAAGGUGAGCAUAGCCUAUAGUUAAUUUUACAUUUUUGAGGCAUAGAAUAUGGAUCCCAUCUUGAUUUUCUUCUUCUAUUUACAUAAGAUACUGUUCUAGUACUAUUUAUUAGAAGGUCCAUCUAUUUUCCCUAAAGUUGCAAAGCCUCUUGACACAAGGCAAAGUACUAGCUGACUGUGGGUUUCACACUGAGAAUUUGAGCCUGUUUGGUUUGCAUAUCAUGCUAAUCUAAGCUAAUUAUUAACUACUAGAUUUCUCUUCUGGGAGUGCUAGUCCUUUCAGCUUAUUCUAUUUGUUCUCUUCAAGAGUCUCUUGGUUAUUGUUGGGCAAUUGAACCUCCACUAAAAUUAAAAAUUAGGUAAUAAAUUGCCUUUUAAAUAUCCUUCGAAGUUUAAAUUGGGAUUUCAUUUAAUUCGUAGAUCAACACAGAAGAAAUAACAUUUUACGAUAUUAAGUCUUUAUGUGAAUAAAACAAUUUUGGUUUUAAUUUUGGUAUAAAAGGCUCAACUGGUCUUGAAGUUGCUAUGCAGCUAAGGGUGGUCUUGAACCUCUGGUUCUUUUGUCUACGGCACCUAUAUGAUUGCGAUUAUAGGCAGGCACUACCACAUACCCUGUUUUUUUAAUAAUUUUAAAUAAAGUGCUGAGGUACUUAUAAUUUUCUCCGCAUAAGUUAUGUUCACAUUAAAUGUCUCCCUAACUAUGACAAAUACUUGGUGCUAAUGUUAUCUCUUCAAAAUUACAUUCUAGAAAGUUUUUGUUUACAAAUUUUGAGUUUGGUUAUGAGUAUUACAUUCAGUUGCAUCAUGAAGGUCUGUUAUGUUGACUUAUUUGCAGAAGUCACUUAAUUUCCUAUUUGGAAAAUUGCAUCUUCCCUUUCACUCCAAAUAAAGAGAAAUUCAUUUUCUCUUUUUCAUAUAUUGCUUUUUUUGCUGCAGUCCUGGAGAUUUAACUUAAAGCAAAGUGACUACAGUAAACAAUAUAUACUGGAAACUUGCUAAGAGGAUUAAAUCUUUCCUUUUUCAAAUAUCUCCCCAACCUUUUGUUUUGAAAAAAUGCCAAGCCCUUCGAAGUUAUAAUAACAAUGUAUCUUUAAGUACUUGAAAUGUAAACUCCACUUUCCCCUUCCUUUUAUUAAUAUAUACCAUUUAUGCAAAAUAAUGGCUCUUCAGCAUAAUAUUUUCUUACAUGUAUAUAACAUACUUUUAUUGUAUUUUUUCCCUAAUAUUAUAUUUUCAAGCCAUCUCUCCCUGGUCUCCUUCCCAUAGCCAAAUAGUUCCUAUUCCACUUUUAUUCUUUUCAAAGCACUAUUUUAUCUAGAUUCUGAAUAAGAUAAAACAUGUUGUAUUUAUCUUUCUGAGUUUGGUUUUCUUCAUGUAACAUUUUUCUUGCUUUUUCUGGAUAUAAUAUUAUUCAUCACACUUCCCUUCUUUUCUUUCUUCCCUUGGGGCACUGACUGACUCCUCCAGCACUGUCUUAUAUACUACUAUCAGCACCGUGGGUAUUCAUGCGUUUUUGAAAAGAAAAAUUAUUAAUUCUUUGAAAAAUUCAUUCAUGUAUAAUUCUACUUAGCCCUGAAACUCUCCCCAUAAUCAUAUUCUCUGUGACUCUUCCUCACUCCAUGUUUUAUUCUUUACCACUCUCAUUUCCUUGCUCAUAACCCCCCAAGCCCAAUUUGUGGGUUCAUAUACUGAGUACAGUUAACCUAACAGGAGAAACAUCUAUUUAAAAAUUAUUCUUUGUCCCCCAGAAACCAUGGGUGGCUAAUAUCUCCUUGGCCAAGAGUGAAUUUUUCCCCACCCUGUAUUUUCCUGAGUUAAUUUUCUCUUGCCAGGGUGAGACACCGUGACAAAACAUUAUAAAAGAAACAUUUACUGAAGUUUACAGUUCCAGAGGGUAAGAGUCCAAGCUCAUCAUGCUGGGGAACAUGGAAACAGGCAGGCAGGCAUGGCGCUGAAGCAGUAGAUGAGAGCUUACAUCUGAUCCAUAGAUCUGAAGCAAAGAGCAUAAAGUGGGAAUGGCUUGGCCUCUUAAAAUCUCAAAAUCCACCCCGUAGGUACAUACCUCUUCCACAUCUCUUAAUCCUUCUGAAACAGUUAAAUCAAAUAUAGAUGAAGAAUUCAGAUACAGAAACAUAAUGGAGCAUUUUCAUUCAAAUUAUCACACUCCUCUAUGUCCUAUGCUGACAGCCUUGCUUUUGUGUAGGUCUUGGGCAAGGAAUAACAGCUGCUGUGUGUUCAUUAAGUUUAGCACUCCUGUGUCCCCAGAAAACAGUGUUUCACCUUAGUCUUUCCUGACCUCCGUCUUUCAUAAUGGUUUCUGAGGCUUGCAACAAAGAAUAUGAUCUAGUAACUGAACGGCCCAUAGGCACUGACUCUCUGCAUUUUGAUCAGUUUCUGCAUUAUCCUCUGUCCCUUGCUCAGAGAGACUCUUCUGAUGAAGUCUGAGAGAGGCACUAAUCAAUCUGUAGGUAUAGAUGUACAAAUUUACAAGGCAGUUUGAUAUUGUAUUUAUUUAGAAAAAUAAUGUUAGGUUUACCCCUAACAUCUAUGAGAUAUCAAAGCAUGAAUUUUGGCAUCUUCAAAUGGUAUACGUUCCUUCUUUAAUAAAUUCAGAAGAUAGUUGGUUCAUGUCACAAUUGCAUUAAUGGGUAUAUCUUAUCACAGUGGUCAUUAUUGUAGCUGCUAGUGAUCUGAGCUAGGUAAGGUGUGCUGUUGAACACACACACACACACACACACACACACACACACACGAAGACUCCAUAGCACCUUCCAGUACUAAGAAAUGUGGGAGGCAACCAUAGAAAGCAAGCCAGUAAACAGUGUAGUUCUGUGGUCUCCUCUGCAGUUCUUGACUCCAGGUUCUUGCUUGCAUUCCUCUCCCCUCCAUUAAUAAUGGAUGGUGAUGUGGAAGCAUAAUCCAAAUAAACCCUUCCCUCCUCUUGUGGACUACCAUUCUCCAAUUUUUAGUCAUAGUGUUUUAUUACAGCAAUAGAUUGCCAAGAUAGCAACCAGGAGCACUGGAAACAGUAUUGUUUUGAGGGUGUCUAGGAUACCUCUCACCAAAAACUGGAGAGGAUGUAUGUACAACCUAUACCUUCUGAGAGGAUCAGCAUUCCAUUUAUAAGUAAUGUCAGUUAAAUUCUUUUAUGUGUAUAGGAUAUUUAUAAAGUAGGGUUUUGAAUGGAUUUUUCAAACAUUCUGAAAACACCCCUGACUGCUAUUCUAACCAAGCCUCCAACCCUUUUCUAACUUUGACCUCCCUCCCAUCAUGCUUCCAUUCCCCCUUAUGUAACAAAUGUUUUACUCUCUCUCUCCCACCCCACACAAUCUUUCUUUCCCCUCCUUACUUGUGUUUCACUUCUAAAUUUCUGGAUUCUAUGAGUACUUCAAGUUACACAAAUCUAAAGAUAUGACACUGGUACAAGAAAAUUCAUCCGAUAUGGUCUUCAAGUAAAUCCAUUUUAUUGGCAGAGUUUGUGUUUUUAUUUUUCCUUAAAGUUCACCAAAAUUCCACUGAGAAUGAUAUUUUUAUUAUCCAUUCAGUUGAUGGACAUUUAAACAUUUUACAUGUCCUAGCUCUUAUGAACAUGGAUGAACAAGGAUCCCUGUAGUAAGAUAGCAAGUCCUUUGUGCAUAUAUCAAGGAGUGGCAUAGCUGAGUCAUAUGAUAAUCUAUUUCUAGUUUUUUGAGAAACAACCACACUGGUUUCUAGAGUGGAUUCAUGAGUUUGCACUCCUACUAACAGUGAAUAAGUGUUUCCACUUCCGUUCUCACAUCCUAGCCAACAUUUACUGUCUUUUGUUUUCUAAGUCUUUGCUAUUCUAACUGGAGUAAAAUAAGUUUUCAUUUGCAUUUUUGAUGGCUAUGGAUGGUAAAAACUUAAAUACAUUUCUUAGCCAUUUGCACUUUUUUCUUCAGAAAACACUCUGUUGGGCUUCACACCUCACUUUUAAAUUGACUUGUCACUGUUUUCUCGUUUUUUUGUAUAUUCUAGACACUAAUCCUCUCUCGGCUUUUUUUUUCUCAAGCUGUAGGCUGCAUGUUCAGUUGAUUGACAGUAUUCCCUGCAAUAUAGAAGACUGUUGAUUCCAUGAAGUUCUGCAUAUUGAAAGUUGGUUCUAUUCUAUAAAUCUUUACCUGAGUCUAUAUCCUGAAGUAUACUCUAUAUUCUUUGAUCCAGAGCUUCCUAGAACUGAUAAAUGCUUUUAUCCAAGAGACAGGUUACAAAAAUUAGCAUUCCAAAUCCAUACCCUUUCUACAUACAAAAACAUGAAGACUGAGAAAGAAAUCAAGCAGACAAUCGCAUUUACAGCCGUCUCAAAAACAGUGUACUUUGCAAUAAAGAUAACCAAGGAAACCCAUACAAUGAAAACUAAGACCUGGGGAGAUAAACUGAAGAAUACAUGAGAAGAUGGACAGAUUGCCGGUGCAUCCGUAAUUACUAGGAUUGAUGUUCUGGAAAUGGUCGUGCUUCCAAAAGUAACAAACAGAUUCAGUGAAAUCCUUGUCAAAAUUCCAAUUCAAUUCUUGACAGAACUGAGAAAAAUUAAAUAUCAUAUGGAAGCACAAAAGAUUCAAUAUAACCAAAACAACCCUGAAAAGUAUAACCUCUUCUGGAGGUGUUACCAAUCCUGAUCUCAAGGUACACAGAGACAUAGUAGUCAAACUACAUUGUACUGGAACAAAAUAGACACAUUGUCCAUUGGACUAAAACUAAGGAUCCCUAUAUACUCUGGAAGCCUUGUCUUAGCCUUAGUCUUAGUCUUAAUUUUAAUUGAAAUGCCUCUGCUAAAGACAUAAUUUCUGUAGAUAAUUUUAGUACUCUUUAACAGAAAAAGGAAAGUUAUGUCUGCUUAUAAUUCAAUAAAUUUUAAAUAAGUAAAUUUGAAAUUUAGUGUUCAUUUGAAAUUUUGAAAUCAGUAUUCAAAAAGUACACAUAUCAACUGAAUUUCUAGAAUAAAGCUAACUUAGAUGAUGAGUAAAAUUGCUUUAUUUAUAUUUUGAUGCGUAAAAUGGAAUUAGAGAGAAAACUUUCCUUUAGAAUGCUGAGGAUUUUCAUGACAUUGGAAAUUUGCUUUUUAAAAUGCUGUGGAAUUUGCUGACAUGGCAUUUGAGCCUCAUAUUUUCUAGUGUGAAGAAACCUGCAAAGUUAUGUGUUUUAAAUAAUGUGGUUAACAAGACUGACUCUCUGUGUAAGACACUGCAAAACCCUCCUCAGAACUAGAUAGACUGGUCUUCUUGACUUAACACAGAACUUAUAGAAAAAUUUACAAUGCUCUAAUCCAAAAACCAAGACUAAGCUACUUUCAAAGAAACAUCUACAUACAAAAGAUCGGUUAAAGAGCCAAUAGCUAAUUAGCUGUGCAUCCUUUUAAUAAAUAAGACAGCUAUGCCAACUUCUAUUGUUUGAUACUAAACUUACCACUAAUAAUCUGUCGCUCUGAUUAUUUUUGUGAAGUAGCUCUUGGUAUGUAUUGAAGCUGCUCUCAGAUGGCUAAGCCUCCCACCCCAGCCUGCCAAGUGACUACAUUACAGGGGUCUGCCAGCUCACAUCUGUAAGUCAAGUAGUUUUAACUUUUGUACCAUUAAAAAUAAUUCUAGGUAAUAUAUACGUGUUUAGAAUAGCUACGCCUCCUCUCUAAUGAGUCAAGGCUUUUAUUUUAAGUAGGUUUUUAUUCUUUACUAUUUAUUAUCUUUAUUUACUUUGUAAUGUUAUUUUUAGUUCUUUUUUUCUGUAAAAACCCACAUGCAUGAACCAUGUAUCUGUGUUUUGCAGUGCUAUUGCAACACUAAAGAGCUUCAGACUUAAUGUAGAUAUAGACCUAUGCAUAUGAAAUAUCUGGUUACUGUGAACAGCUUCCUCCUUUAUUGAUUGCUCAUUUUUAUUUAUUUAUUCUGUAUAUUAAUUUAUAUUUUGCAUAUCUAAAAUUUGUAUAUUAAAUCCGAUGCAUUGCUCACUUGCUUUUGCUAAUUCUCAUCUCUGGUGGUUUGGAGUGCCUACUAGUUUUCCUUGAAUUGGCAACUUGUGGGGACAGAUCUACUGGCUAUGACAGCAGAAUUCUUCUUUCUCUAAUUCUUAGACACAAGGUGACCUCUCACCUCUGUUUCUGUUACAUCCCCUCCUUGCUAUGAUGGAGUGAAUUCUAGGAACUGUAGGCUGAAACCAACCAUUUCUCCCUAAUUGCUUUUUGUUGGGUGUUUGGUUACUGCAAUGCUUAAAGAAAUUAAUACUGUAGUCAUAUUAUCUACUUUGAAGGAUUUAUAUUUUGCUGAGAGCCAGAAGGUGGUGCUAGUCUUGGACAACCUUGACAUUUUCAACAAGCCAUAAGCCGUAUCUAUGGAUUCCAUGUUACCUUUUUCUAAAUAGCUCUCACAGUUACAUGCUCAUAAAAUCUAGAGACAGGCAGAAUACAGAAGUCAAAAAUUAAGGUGUGCUCUCUUUAAACUCAUAUGGAGGUCUGCAACCCCAGCAUGACCCUUUUGUGGAAAGCCAAGGCAUUAGAAGGUACGUAGGAUGAAACUAAGUCACAAGGGUACAUGUGCUGACAGGUUUCUUAGCUUAGAAAAAGAUGGUCCUUAUAUACUGCUCUGGUUCCCUCCUGCAUAUCUUAGAAUUAUCAGAAGAGCAGCUAGGACAUAGAGAAGGAUGGUGGCUGGCUUCCUACUGGUCAAGUAAGCAUACAAUUUUAAAAUGAAAUCUACCUAGCUAAUCCUUCAUCUUGAAUAUAUAAGCCUUCAAAAUUGUGAGAUAUACAUUUUAUAAUUUAAAACAAUAAAUCUAUAAUACUUUAUUGUGAUUGUUCAUGCUGUCUAGUGUAUGUUUUCUUAUGUAUUUACAGAAAUGAACAACAACAAAAAGCUCACAUGAUGUUCUCAAGCAUAAACAGUGCUAGCUUUCUGCUGGUUGUCAUAGAAGAUCCCGACUCAGAACUCUGUGUUCUGGCAGAUUAUUGUAUCACUUUCAAACUUUGUAACUAUUUGCAAGACAAUUUUCUAUUUCAGUGUCAUGAGCUGUCUGUAAGUGUUUUCUCCACUGAACAUGUCCACCCUUCUCUGGCACCUGGGAUGAAUUCUCAAGUGAGUUCUUUCAGAGUUCCUUGGGCUCCACAUUCCCCAUAAACCCUGUCGCUCUCCACUCACUUGUGUAAGCCAUUUUCUCUCUAGUUCCAUAUAUGUUACAUUUGAGUUCUGUGUCCAGUGUUAUCCCUUUAUAUUUCCCUCCUUCACUGUUAGCUUCAUGGGUUGAGGAGUUCCUCUGGUUCGUUUUAUAAAAUGUCUCUUACAUCUAUCACUGACAGAGAGACCAAUAGUAACGGGCUACCUGCCUGCUUGCCUGCAUGUACUGUUAACACCUGGCACUCUGUAAUCCAUCACCAGGAGGCUUUGAAAGAAGUGACACCUUGGUUACUGUGAUGUGUUCAUGCCAUGAAGAACUUGGGAAGAAGAUUGGAUCAAACGUGAUGAUAGUGACUACCCUGCAGUUACUAGACUAUGGCCUGUGCUGUUGGAGAUCUGAGGUUAUUAAUGGAGAUGUUAUAGCUGAUAUCCGGGAAAUCAGUCCCCUGCAAAGUGAAGACCACCUGUGCUGUGAUAUUUUAAUCUUUAUCAUCUAAAUAGGUUAAAAAAAUGACACUUCCAAAGGGCUGAGGCAGGAGAAUUCCAAGUUUGAGGGAAGCCUGGACUAUUUAGGAAAAACAUCUGUUACAAAGAAGAAAACAAAAAAGAAAUUUCUAUUACUUUAUUCCUUUAAACCCCAUCAGCUGUGUUUUAUUGUAUUUGAAUCUCUGAAUAUAUAGUUUUCAACUGACAGAUGUAUGAAAAAGCUGUGUAUAAUAUAUACAGUAGAUUGUAUAUAAUAUGUAGUACUUAUAUAUUAUAUAUAUAAUUCCUAUGGCUGAAUAGUAUUCAUUAUAUAUAAUAUAUAUUUUAAUUCACUAUAUUAUAUUAUAUAUAGUAUAUGUAUUGUAUACAUAAUAUAUAGUUUACACAUUAUGUAUAUAUUGUAUAUAUUAAUAUAUGACAUUAUAUGUAAUAUAGCAUAUAUAAAAUAUAUAAUAUAUAAUACAUAUAUAAUGAAUGUCAUUCAACAAUAGCAAAAAUGAAAUCCUAUCUUUUGUGAAAAUGUACAGAAAUGAGGAUAUCAUACUUAGUCACAUAAACCAGCCACAGUAUACUAAAUACCCUUUUAUUCCAUUCACAUAGAAAAAUUUAUAAGUUUAUCUUCCAGAAACUGAGAUCAGAGUGCAAGUGUGGUUACUAGAGACUGAGAAGGUUAAGUGUGGACAGCGAAAGGUUGAUCAAAUAGUAUUAAGUUGUAAAUAAGACCCAUAAGUUCUGGAUGUCAAUGCUCAGCAGGAUCAUGUCAGAUCAUCACACUGUAUAUUCAAAAAGGCUUAAAAAAGAUAUGAAAUAUUUCUGCCAGAAGUAUAUGUAUCUAUAAAGACAUUGAUAUACUUACCAACUUAAAAAUUUAAUACUAUGCACAGGUAUCAAAAUACCACAUGGUAACCUAUAAAUAUGUAUAACUUUAUGUGUCAAUUGAAAAAUUGAAAAGAAAAAAAGAAAAUUUACACUUACUAUUUUCUUUUACUUGGGGGAUAUUUUUUUCCAUACCACUGGGCAAAUGGCUUUUUAAAUUUCACCCAAUGAUGACUUACAUAUUUAAAUAGUACUCUGCUCCCACUAGGUUCUAUUCACCCAUAAAAUUAGAAUAUAUUGCUCAGGGAAAUUAUAACCUGCAUAUGAAUAUAAAGUCACUUUUCAUGUGGCCUCUCUUUACUGAAUAAUUAAAAUUAUUAGUGGUUAAACUAUGUAAAUCUUAAUACUUCUUUAGACUUUCCUGAAGCUCAACAGAAAAGGACCUAACCCUAUAAUCAGAUCAAAAUGAUUAGUGCUAUCUAAAAAUGACUAUAGCUUUAGUUUACACAAGGUUUUCAUUGCAACACAAUACUUACUACUGGGAGACUCUGAAUUUUAAAGCUAUAGUUCUGUUAGCUUCAUAGAAUGAUACUGUCUCCCAAUAACUUCUCUUACUCUAACAUGUCUUACAUAUUCAUAAUUGUUGGAACAAAUUGCUGGAAUGCUAUUAUUGAUGAUAAAUCGCAGCUUCCAAACUAGAUACUGAUGAAAAUUUCAAUUGUCCAAAAAUUACACCCUCUGAGCAGACUAUAAUUUGAGAGAUACUUUGUGUUCUGAAAUGGGAAAGGAGUAUUUGAAUACACUGACUGUUUUCUUUGAGCCAAGCACUAAGCAAACAAAGCCACAUGUCUUCCACAUAGAAUUAUGUCAGAGGAUGACACACAGAGUGCUUUGGAAAAAAUUUUCAAACUUUAAUUGGACCUUGAACACUCUUAAUAAAGGAAGCCAAGUCACUGGGUACAAUAGAAAAAAAAGAAUUUGUUUGGCAUAAAAACUAUUUGAAGCUAAAGAAGGCGCGUAGGUUAGGCAUUUCUAAUGGCAAUAAAAUGAGAAGAGAGAGGAAGCACAGACUAAGCAUGAACCAGCUGCCACCAUUUAAUUUGUGUUAUAAUUAUUUUGUGUUCUCUCCUCAUGAAGGUGGAUUUAGAAUAACUUUGUUAGGAACAGCAUUUUCCUCUCAUCAACAGGAGUUUAUUUUAAUAAUCAUUUUGCGUGCGUUCUUAACCUGAAAGUCUGAGAUUUCAUAACCUUAGGAAAAGUAAAGGGUUUAAGAAAAGGGACUGGGCUCACUGAAGUGAAAAGGAGUAAAACGCAGAGUCCUAGGAAUCUUAAUAUACUCCUGACUUGGCAUCCAUUUUUGAACUACAUAGAUAUACAAUCUUUUUCCUCCAAUCUCUACUCCUAGGUAUGUUCAAAGUAGGAGUGUAGCAUGUGUGUAGGAGAACACAUACUAGAGUGUUCAUAGUGUUCAUUCUAGAGUGUUCAUAGAGUGUUUGUAGAAGCCUCUCAUUGGAGGCUACCCAAAGGCUUAUCCCAAUAGAAUACACACACACACACACACACACACACACACACACACACACACACACACACACACACACAAACACACUGCAAAUAGUAAUUAAUCUGGGGAUAGAGAGCUUGAUAAGGAGGGACCUUACAAAUAAGGUUCUUGCUUACAAGUGGGUAAGGUCCACUUUGGCUCAGCUAGAUAAAAUAUUUUAAGCUCCCUAUAUUUUUUUAUACCUAAUUAUCCUCAUAUUACAUUUCAAUACAAAUUUAACAUCAAAAUUAUAGAAAACACAAUGUGAAGUCCACUCACAAAAUACCAUGGCGGAAGUAUGUCAGCACAAUGUUUUUAUUCCUUUUUUCAUCCACCUGAAGAUUACAAAAUAAAUAUUUUAUAUCUCACUUUAGAAAUAUGUUUUACUAAAGACACAUUUAAACCAUCAGAGAAUACAAUGUUAUUAACUAAAUUUGAAUCCUAAUGUGUUUCACAGUCACAAUUUGGUUCUUAAAAUAAAGAGUAAUGAAAGUCAAACCUAUUCUUUAAAAAAAAAGUCUGAUAAUGUGGCAUACUGGAGCCUGAAUUACACCUCAUAGUCUACGCAAAUUAUAUAGUUUCUCCUGUGGUUCUAAUCUGUGUGACUUUUUCUGGUUGAUUGAGAUAAGGGAGCUGACCUGCAUUAAGAGCCCUGUUAUGAAAAGGAAACAAAAAUAUCAGAAUCUAGUAGCCUUGAAAGCUGCCAUUCAUGAACUGAGAAAACAGCAAGUCAUGGUACCUGUCCUCAUUCAUUUCUUUGAUAAAAAUAUCCUGACAAAAAGCAACUUUUGAGAGAAAGUUAGCAAUCUAGGUCAGAGUGCCCCAUUGCAGGGAAAUCACAGAAUUGAGAGUUUGAGAGAGCUGGUCACUUCUCACAAUCAAGAACAGAGAUAAUCAAAGCUUUCUCGCACUCUUACACAUUUUAGAACUCAGUCUAGAGAAUGUCGCCACCCACAGUGGUCUGGGUCUUCCUAUAUCAAUUGACAAUCAGAACAAUUUCCCAUAAACAUGUCUAUAGACCAAACUGAUCUAGAUAAUUUCUCAAGAAUCUCUCUUCAAGUAUCUCCAGGUUGUUUCAAGUUGACAGUUAAAACUGUCACAGUGUUCAACUCCGAGUCCUUAUAUGGCAGACAAUAUACACUAUGCUGACUGGAUUGCCUGUGCUAUUUACUUCCUUUUUAUUCCUCCCAAUCAUAUCUUUGACACACAUGUAGCAUACCUAUACUGUACUUUGCAAAAAUGAAUCCUAAGUAUAAUGGGACCUCUUUCAUAAAAGUUCUAUGGGUCUGGGAACAACAGGUAGAGUUCCACACUGAAUUAAAAAUAUUAGUUUACUCCUCUUAAAAGUGGGAAUAGUUUAUUGUGCAGUGGUAAAAAUAAGAGUUAAAUCUAUGUAGAAAGCCUCAUGUAUUGUGGACUGCUGUCUGUUUUUUCUGUCCUGUACCCUGUGCCUGUACUCAGGUGAAGUCAGGUGAAAUCUUAAUUACGUAGAUAAGGUUACAUGAUUGGGCAGUGGAAGCAAAGGCAGAGCGGAAAGUUUUAGAGAGGGAAGAGAGAAGGAGAGAGAGAGAUGGGAGAGACAGGAGUCACAAGAUGGUACCUGAAGGAGAGGAUGAUGACCUAGAACCACAUGGGAGUAAUUAGUAACUGGGGAUUACACAGAUGGACAGUUGAGGAAUGUAGGGCACAUUUGUCCAAUCUAGGUGUGCAGCUUGUAUCAGUAUCAAUUGGCUUUUCGGUUCUUUGUGUGGGCAUUUGGGGGGUUGGGAAUUUAUUGUUAUAAAUCUGGCUGAUAAUUACAAGCCUCUGGAGUUUCAUUUUACAGGGCUGGGCUAGAGGAUUAGAACCAAUGGCAGCCAGUUUGGCUUGGGAAGUGCAAGCAGUUAGGCAGCAGCUAAUCACAGGAACAGGGAUAGACCUCCAGUUGGGGGCCCCUAUAGGGGAGAGGAGACUGCCAUUGUUGGUGCCUAGCUGGCCAUAGUGUGGAUUGAUUUUUUUUUAUAAUUACACACUACAAUGUAUGCUAUAGUAUCUAGCACAGAAUGAGAAUUCAGUAAGCAACAGUUUAUAUUUAGAUAAGAAUGUGAAAAUUAAAUAUAAAAUUGUGACAUGGAACAAAUUGAAAAGCAUUGGUAUUAGGUUUCAGUUUUCUCUAUAAAGAUUUGAUAAUUUUAA